UCCAGGCCCUACGGGGCGCAGCAGGCGCGAAACCUCUGCAAUGCGGGAAACCGUGACAGGGGGAUCCCAAGUGCUCAUGCAUUGCAUGGGCUGUUCUUCGGUCUAAGUAACCAGAGGAGUAAGGGCUGGGCAAGACCGGUGCCAGCCGCCGCGGUAAUACCGGCAGCUCGAGUGGUAGCCGCGAUUAUUGGGCCUAAAGCGUUCGUAGCCGGAUAAGUAAGUCUUUGGUUAAAUCCUGCGACUUAACCGUGGGAAAUCUAGAGAUACUGCUUGUCUUGAGACCGGGAGAGGUUGGAGGUACUCCUAGGGUAGGGGUGAAAUCCUGUAAUCCUAGGGGGACCACCUGUGGCGAAGGCGUCCAACUGGAACGGGUCUGACGGUGAGGGACGAAACCUAGGGGAGCGAGCCGGAUUAGAUACCCGGGUAGUCCUAGGCGUAAAUGAUGCGAGUUAAGUGUGGGGGCAUCUACGAGAUGGCCCUGUGCUGUAGGGUAGCCGUUAAACUCGCCGCCUGGGGAGUACGGUCGCAAGGCUGAAACUUAAAGGAAUUGGCGGGGGAGCACCACAAGAGGUGGAGGCUGCGGUUCAAUUGGAUUCAACGCCGGA
rnacentral:rRNA from 1 species